CAGCCGCCGCGGGAAUACGAAGGGGGCUAGCGUUGUUCGGAUUUACUGGGCGUAAAGCGCACGUAGGAGGACUUUUAAGUCAGGGGUGAAAUCCCGGGGCUCAACCCCGGAACUGCCUUUGAUACUGGAAGUCUUGAGUAUGGUAGAGGUGAGUGGAAUUCCGAGUGUAGAGGUGAAAUUCGUAGAUAUUCGGAGGAACACCAGUGGCGAAGGCGGCUCACUGGACCAUUACUGACGCUGAGGUGCGAAAGCGUGGGGAGCAAACAGGAUUAGAUACCCCCGUAGUCCCUGUCUCUUAUAC
rnacentral:rRNA from 1 species